UAAAUGUGUCACUAGUUAUGAAUGAGUUGACAACCGCCCAUAGACAGAUUACUGAACGGAUAAGGGAGGGAGGCGGAAAGUUACCACAAGAGAGGAUUAAACCUGUCGACAACAAACAAAGGUUUAAGAACUUCUGAAUUUUCAGUCAGAAAUGAUCACAACGCCUGGUUGAAGUACCAGUCUCCAUGUGCAAGUCAACAAAGCAGAGAGGAAACACCUGAUUGACAAGGUAUGAGUCUCAAGCUCAACCUGUGACUGGGAAAACCAUAUCCAUGAUGCACACCAUCCUGAGCAAAGUCUGAACUCAAUGACUUGUUGCUCUCAACCUAGAGCGAGAGUCCUUUUAUCACCAUUUAUCCUUUUAUCACCGGUUACCCCUUAUAUGGACACAAGCUGGGGUUUUUUUCAGAUCUUAGUAAUACCAUGAGGAAACUGGACAGGAAACAGAAUUGGUUCUUUUUUUAACAGAAUUUUUAAAUAGAAAUUGUUUCUUUAAGUGGAUUACUCGUAAUCUGUAUUUUUGUUUCAUUUGGACUUAUUUUCUUUAUAACUUUCCAUAUUGAAAUGCGGACAAAUUACACUUCUUUGUGAGUUGUACUGUAAUUUUUAUGGUAAAAUUCUGGUAACAACAGCUACCGGUAAUUUAUCAUAAAGUUUUUAUUUUCAAAUUUUUUACAAUAAAAUGUCAAUAUAUCAUACAGUCCUGCCGUGUUUUUCACUUACGUAGACUAACCUAUAUGGUAUAUGUGUUUUUAUAGUAAGUUGCAUAGAAAAGUUUAAGUUCUGAACUGCUAAGUCACGGUUGCCAAGAUAUUAUGCCUCAUGCAGUAUGACCGUAUUUACUAUGGAAAAACCACAUUUUCAUUUUCACUUUAUUUUACCAUAUAUUGGGAAAUACACUAAAAUACCGGCAGCUGCAGUU